UGGACCAAGGAUGAUAAUGUGUCAUGAACCAGAUUAUGAGUAAUCCAGUUCUGUUUACCUAAAUUCCAAA
rnacentral:snoRNA from 1 species